UGGGAUAAAAAGCUCAGUAAGUUAUUUUAUAUUUUAAUCUAUUAAGGAUAAGCUUAAUAGAAAGUAGGAAAAAUGUAUUAAUCAAAUAAAUUAUGUAGAUUUGAAAUUAAUCACCAUAGUAGAACUUAUUACAAAACAAUUUGUAAAAUUGUAAAAAUUUUUAUACUUGUUUUCCUUGUAUUAUAAAGGUAAUGAAAAAAAUUAAUAAAUUUAAUUUGUGUAUGCUAGGAUGAGUAUUUUUAAAUUUUUUAGAAGGUAGAAUGAUUUAGAAUACCUAUAAUAAUAAUUGUUUACAGGUGUAAAAUAGAAAGAAGGAACUCGGCAAAUAUUAGCUCCGCCUGUUUAUCAAAAACAUGGCUCUUUGUUAGGUUAAAUAUAAAGAGUCCAACCUGCCCAGUGAGAGUUAUUUAACGGCCGCGGUACUUUGACCGUGCAAAGGUAGCAUAAUCAUUUGCCUUAUAAUUGAAGGCUUGUAUGAAUGGUUUAACGAGAGCAUUGCUGUCUCUUUUUUAAUAGAUAAAAUUUAACUUUUAGGUGAAGAGGCCUAAAUAUAAUUGAAAGACAAGAAGACCCUGUCGAGCUUAAAAAUUAAAUUAGGAAUAGACUAUAAAAUUUAGAUUUUUCACUAAAUUUAUUUUUUGAUUGGGGCGAUCAAGGAACAAUGAAAGCUUCCUUUAAAACUAUUUCAACUUAUAAGUACUGAUCCAGCUUAAGGCUGAUUAAAAGAAUUAGCUACCGCAGGGAUAACAGCAUAAUCUCUCUUGAGAGACCUUAUCGAAAGAGGGGGUUGUGACCUCGAUGUUGGACUAGAAUAUCCUAAAGGUGCAGAAGUCUUUAAGG
rnacentral:rRNA from 1 species